UAGGGAAUCUUUGGCAAUGGACGAAAGUCUGACCGAGCAACGCCGCGUGAGUGAAGAAGGUUUUCGGAUCGUAAAACUCUGUUGGUAGAGAAGAACGUUGGUGAGAGUGGAAAGCUCAUCAAGUGACGGUAACUACCCAGAAAGGGACGGCUAACUACGUGCCAC
rnacentral:rRNA from 1 species